AGAAAUUAAGGUUAAUUAAACCAAGGACCUUCAAAGCCCUAAAAAAGAGUACA
rnacentral:tRNA from 1 species